rnacentral:lncRNA from 1 species
UCUCUCUCUCUCAGCAAUCUGACCUUUCUUUCUCCCCCACCACCACCAGCGCCUUCUCCGACGACCACCACCACCACUGCCUCCCGGUUCUCCGACGACCACCACCACUAGCGCAUCUCGGCUCUCCGAUGACCACCACCACCAGCAGCGCCUCCCAAUUCUCCGACGACCACCACCACUUGCGCCUCCCGAUUCUCCAACCACCACCAUCGCAACCAGGCCUCCCGGCUCUCCGAAGACCACCACCACCAGCGCCUCCCGGCUCUCCGAAGACCA